UACGUAGGGGGCUAGCGUUGUCCGGAAUCAUUGGGCGUAAAGCGCGUGUAGGCGGCCCGGUAAGUCCGCUGUGAAAGUCGGGGGCUCAACCCUCGAAAGCCGGUGGAUACUGUCGGGCUAGAGUGCGGAAGAGGCGAGUGGAAUUCCUGGUGUAGCGGUGGAAUGCGCAGAGUAUCAGGAGGAACACCAAUGGCGAAGGCGGGUCUCUGGGCCGAUACUGACGCUGAGGAGCGAAAGCGUGGGGAGCGAACAGG
rnacentral:rRNA from 1 species